GUAAAAAGUUUUUUGAUGUAU
ensembl:piRNA 21ur-5191 ncRNA